AGCGAACGCUGGCGGCAGGCCUAACACAUGCAAGUCGAACGAACCUUUCGGGGUUAGUGGCGGACGGGUGAGUAACACGUGGGAACGUGCCUUUAGGUUCGGAAUAACUCAGGGAAACUUGUGCUAAUACCGAAUGUGCCCUUCGGGGGAAAGAUCUAUCGCCUUUAGAGCGGCCCGCGUCUGAUUAGCUAGUUGGUUGAGGUAAUGGCUCACCAAGGCGACGAUCAGUAGCUGGUCUGAGAGGAUGAUCAGCCACAUUGGGACUGAGACACGGCCCAAACUCCUACGGGAGGCAGCAGUGGGGAAUCUCGCGCAAUGGGCGAAAGCCUGACGCAGCCAUGCCGCGUGAAUGAUGAAGGUCUUAGGAUUGUAAAAUUCUUUCACCGGGGACGAUAAUGACGGUACCCGGAGAAGAAGCCCCGGCUAACUUCGUG
rnacentral:rRNA from 1 species